AGGCAGCCCCCUAUCAAAAACCAAUUGAUAAGGGAGGUGUUAUUCUACUCGUAAAUUGUUUCUUUGGCUCUUCAGAUCUGCUGAUAUGUGUAAUGACGCAGCUCUAGUAACGCUCAAGUAUACU
rfam:Spinacia oleracea cultivar SynViroflay scaffold24998.con0001.1, whole genome shotgun sequence.